rnacentral:misc_RNA from 1 species
UUAACAAAUUGAAGUUUUUUUACCAUGAUAAGAAUUAAGGUAUAGUGAUUAAUGGGGAAUUUACCUCUAGAAAUGCAGCUAAGCAUUGUUAUAGCAAAGAAAAUAAGGAACUACCAAAGUCUACAAUUAUUUAAGAAAGGUUACAAAUUUGGUGCAUGGAGCUGCAAUUGCAACAAUAUCUUUCAUAUAACCAUUCCCACUAUGGACUACAGUUGAAAUUAGCAGUUUCUAUCUAUCUAUCUACCGAAAGAAGAAAGCAACUCCUUGUCAGGAUACUAAAUCACCAGAUAUACGCCCUGCAAUGAUUAAAACAACAAACAUUACCGUGUAAUGAACAGCUAAAACAAAUAGGCCUAAUAAUAAAUUGAAAAAAAAAUCAAAAAAAGGACAAUUUUCCCAUGUUUUUGCAAUUACAUCUCAUCCUUUCAAUUUUAGCAAUUUUGCCCCAAUUUCAAAGGUUAGUCGUAAGUUUGUCCAAGUGGUCAAAAUUGAAGUUAGAGGUGCUUAUACGGCAGCUGACUAGAAAGAUAAUUAUUAUUAUUAUUAUUAGAUUGGGGGGCUCAGAUAACUCUAAUUAAAAUAUUAUUUUUAAAACUUUUGGGGUACAUAUAUGUGGAUCCCACAAUGAAAAAGAAGUAAUUUGUCCUAGCAACUGUAUUAGCACCCUAACUUCAAUUUUUUACCAUUAGACAAAAUUGCAACCAACCUUUGAAGUUGGGACAAAUUCGCAAAAAAUAAAAGGAUAGAACAUAAUUGCAAAAACACGAAAAAGAUUUGGCUUUUUUUUACCAUUAAGCCAAACAAAUAAUAUAAUAUCCAUAAGAUAUAACAUAACAACAAGGUGAUUUAAGGCUUCCCCCUCUUCAAUCACAAUUACUACCAAAGGCUGCAUCCAUCACAACACAAACACAAUUCCUCGCCUAGCAAGCAUUUUCUAAUUUGGAUUGUUCUUAUUACAGGAGAGAGCUUUCCACUGAAUUAAUACUGAUUAUUUUCUCAUUUGACAUUUUGAGAUGACAAAAUUGUAACUGAACCAUGUCAUUUCAUCCAAUUCUGAACUAGAAAAUACAAAUAAAGAGAAGGUGGUUUGAGAUCGCUGUUGAGAGAGAGAGAGAGAGAG